CCCAAGGUUGAGGAGACACUGAUGACUUUUGUGAAUCUUCGUUCAUCGUGUUUCUUUUCCACGAACCGACACCCCAAGGCUGAGGAAAGACUGACAACUUCUUUGAAUCGUCAUUUGUGUUUCUUUGCCAUGAACCAACACCCCAAGGUUGAGGAGAUACUGAUGACUUCUCUGAAUUUUCGUUCGUGUUUCUUUGCCACGAACCAACACCCCAAGGCUGAG